AACCUUUACAAUGCACGAAAGUGUGAUAAGGGGACUCCAAGUGUCUACAUAUGUAGACUUUUGCCAUGUUUAGAAAGCUUGGCGAAUAAGGACUGGGUAAGACCCGUGCCAGCCGCCGCGGUAACACGGGCAGUUCUAGUGGUUUCCACGUAUAUUGGGCCUAAAGCGUGCGUAGCCGGUUUUGAAAGUCCUUUGUGAAAUCUGGCAGCUUAACUGUCAGACUUGCAAGGGAAACUACAAAACUUGGAGUCGGGAAGGGUUGGAGGAAUUUCAGGGGUAGGAGUAAAAUCCUGUGAUCCCUGGAGGACCAUCGGUGGCGAAGGCGUCCAACUGGAACGAGCUCGACGGUGAGGUACGAAAGCUAGGGGAGCAACCCGGAUUAGAUACCCGGUUAGUCCUAGCCGUAAAUGAUGUCUGUUUGGUGUGGCACAACUUACGAGGUUGUGCCGUGCCGUAGGGAAGCCGUUAAACAGACCGCCUGGGAGUACGCCGCAAGGC
rnacentral:rRNA from 1 species